rnacentral:misc_RNA from 1 species
GAUGAAGAACGUAGUGAAAUGCGAUACUUGGUGUGAAUUGCAGAAUCCCGUGAACCAUCGAGUCUUUGAACGCAAGUUGCGCCCGAAGCCAUCAGGUUGAGGGCACGUCUGCCUGGGCGUCACAUAUCGUUGCUCGAUGCCUAUCGCAUUGCGAUAGGACUUAGGGCGAAUGAUGGCUUCCCGUGAGCGUUGUUGCCUCGCGGUUGGUUGAAAAUCGAGUCCUUGGUAGGGUGUGCCAUGAUAGAUGGUGGUCGAGUUAGCACGAGACCGAUAAUGUGCAUGCUCCCCAAAAUAUGGCCUCUGUGACCCACACGCGUCUUUUGACGCUCAUGAUGAGACCUCAGGUCAGGCGGGGCUACCCGCUGAAUUUAAGCAUAUCAAUAAGCGGAGGA